AUGGUUGUCGUCAGCUCGUGUCGUGAGAUGUUGGUUAAGUCCCGCAACGAGCGCAACCCCUAUUGUUAGUUGCCAUCAUUCAGUUGGGCACUCUAGCGAGACUGCCGGUAAUAAACCGGAGGAAGGUGGGGAUGACGUCAAUCAUCAUGCCCCUUAUGACCUGGGCUACACACGUGCUACAAUGGUUGGUACAACGAGUUGCGAGUCGGUGACGGCGAGCUAAUCUCUUAAAGCCAAUCUCAGUUCGGAUUGUAGGCUGCAACUCGCCUACAUGAAGUCGGAAUCGCUAGUAAUCGCGGAUCAGCACGCCGCGGUGAAUACGUUCCCGGGCCUU
rnacentral:rRNA from 1 species